AUUGAACGCUGGCGGCAGGCCUAACACAUGCAAGUCGAACGAGUGGCGGACGGGUGAGUAAUGUCUGGGAAACUGCCCGAUGGAGGGGGAUAACUACUGGAAACGGUAGCUAAUACCGCAUACCAUCGGAUGUGCCCCGAUGGGAUUAGCUUGUAGGUGAGGUAACGGCUCACCUAGGCGACGAUCCCUAGCUGGUCUGAGAGGAUGACCAGCCAAACGGGAACGGAGACACGGUCCAGACUCCUACGUGAGGCAGCAUUGGGGAAUAUUGGACAAUGGGCGCAAGCCGGAUACAGCCAUGCCGCGUGUAUGAAGAAGGCCUUCGGGUUGUAAAGUACUUUCAGCGGGGAGGCGUUACCCGCAGAAGAAGCACCGGCUAACUCCGUGCCAGCAGCCGCGGUAAUUC
rnacentral:rRNA from 1 species